rnacentral:rRNA from 1 species
UACGGGGGGAGCAAGCGUUGUUCGGAUUUACUGGGCGUAAAGGGCGCGUAGGCGGCGUGACAAGUCACUUGUGAAAUCUCCGGGCUUAACUCGGAGCGGCCAAGUGAUACUGUCGUGCUAGAGUGCGGAAGGGGCUACUGGAAUUCUCGGUGUAGCGGUGAAAUGCGUAGAUAUCGAGAGGAACACCUGCGGCGAAGGCGGGUAGCUGGGCCGACACUGACGCUGAGGCGCGAAAGCCAGGGGAGCGAACGGGG